UACAGAGGGUGCGAGCGUUAAUCGGAAUUACUGGGCGUAAAGCGCGCGUAGGCGGCUUUGCAAGUCUGGCGUGAAAGCCCCGGGCUCAGCCCGGGAAGUGCGCUCGAAACUGCGCGGCUCGAGUGCCGGAGGGGAGAGUGGAAUUCCUGGUGUAGCGGUGGAAUGCGCAGAUAUCAGGAAGAACACCGGUGGCGAAGGCGGCUCUCUGGGCCUUACCUGACGCUGAGGAGCGAAAGCGUGGGUAGCGAACAGG
rnacentral:rRNA from 1 species